UUCAACUGCCGAACAACAAGAACAACAAGUGUAACAGGCGGUGAAACCAGAAAAAUGGCAAACCAACCAAAUCAAAUGAAACCCUUCAUCAUGUAAAAACAUUUUCGAGCACCAACCGAAUGUCAAAAUCCAAUACAAAACAAAAACAAAAAUUCCACCCAAAAAAAAAGAGUACCAGAUUUGACAUAUGAGCGAGAAACGUGCGUAAAAGUUGUAGCCUUUUGCUGUCCCCCCUCCCGAACCCGAAUUUGGUUUUUAGACCCGCUUGACAACAAUGAUAGCGACAAUGAAGCGCCUGCCGAGGCCUGUCUGAUUGCCGACUGUCGACUGUGGGCAACUGGCAUGUCGAAUGCGCAAACGUUUCGGCAUAUUUGUGGGUUUUUGUUGUUAGUUUGUUAGUUGGGGCUUUGUCUGGUUUUUGGUUUGCGACUAGAGAGGCCAAAGGACAGGAGAGCUGAAGCAGUCUUAAAGCCGGAAAGCCGGAAAUGUAAGCAACAGCACUUUAACUACUUUUCAUGAACUCUCCAGCCAGUCGUCAAUACUUGGAAAUCGAAAUCCUCCGAGUAAUCAACAAUCGCAUUUUAUGCAAUGUCAUCUUUUAUUUCUUCUUUAAUUUCACCUGCUCGGCUCAAUCAGCCCAGCUGUCAAAAUCGGAAAGUCGAUUCGAUCUGGCUGUCUGUCACACAGCAAAUUUCAAAAUUAAUAACUUAUGCCUAAAACACAUCAAAUGUAAGGUAAAAGCUUUCAGAAUCAUUUGCAGCAUCUUAAAGAAAUUGUACAUUGGACUCGGCCGCUUGCUCAUACAUUUUUUAUAAAUUGUUAAUGAUUGCAAAUGUUGCAAGUUAAUAAAAUCUUUGCAAUUUGUUCAAAA